CUCAGAUUGAACGCUGGCGGCAUGCCUUACACAUGCAAGUCGAACGGCAGCACGGGCUUCGGCCUGGUGGCGAGUGGUGAACGGGUGAGUAAUACAUCGGAACAUGUCCUGUAGUGGGGGAUAGCCCGGCGAAAGCCGGAUUAAUACCGCAUACGAUCUGAGGAUGAAAGCGGGGGACCUUCGGGCCUCGCGCUAUAGGGUUGGCCGAUGGCUGAUUAGCUAGUUGGUGGGGUAAAGGCCUACCAAGGCGACGAUCAGUAGCUGGUCUGAGAGGACGACCAGCCACACUGGGACUGAGACACGGCCCAGACUCCUACGGGAGGCAGCAGUGGGGAAUUUUGGACAAUGGGCGCAAGCCUGAUCCAGCAAUGCCGCGUGUGUGAAGAAGGCCUUCGGGUUGUAAA
rnacentral:rRNA from 1 species